rnacentral:misc_RNA from 1 species
UGACGAACCCGCGAUCGCACUCACAUCGCUCUUCUCCACUUGACUGCUGCUUCACCUGCUUGCGCCCUCGAUCUCGCCUCGCUGCUCGCCAUCACCGUAUCUGCCGACAUUCGCUGAGCGUUUUCUUUCUGCCGCCUUCACUGCUGCCGCCUCUUGCCAACGACCUCGAGCGCCGGAUGAACGGAACUCAAGGAGAGGCAUCUGCUCCCUAUCCCUGAGCAGUUUUCUGCUAAGAAAGCGCUCGUGUCCGUGGUUACGGAAGCGCAUCCUGAGACUUUGUGAGGAAUGGCGAAUAUCAUCACUCUGAAGAGUGCAUGGGAUGUUGACCGUCACAUUGUGCUGGACUCCGCAGACAAGCUGGUAUUAAUCCGAUUUAGCAGCUACACUUCCGCUGCGGCGGAAGCGGAGGAGUACAGUCGACAGGCGAAGCGUAGCACCGCAACUUCGACCCCCACAGCGGCCGAAGGAUCGUCGAAUUCGUCUUCGUCGGCGCUACCCACCCGCAAGCGCAGGCACGACGAUGCGGAUGGAAAUAGCGCAUGUGCGGUGACGUCGGCGACGACAGCCGCCCUCUUGUCAGCCAACGUUGACGAGCACUACCUGCGCACGCGUCAGAUGGACGCGUUGCUCAGCGAACUUGCACCCAAGGUGCGCAAGUACUGCACCAUUUACUUUGUGGACACCCGUGAGGUGACGGCUUUCAACGAACUCUACGAGCUGGGCCACGACCGUGACCCGUUCGCUGUCAUGUUCUUCUACCGAAAUCGCCACAUUCGAGUCGACGUCGGGACGGGCAACAAUAACAAGAUCAACUUCUUCGCCUUUGAGGACUUGUACGACUUUUUGCCCAUCGUAGAUGCCGCCUACAAGGCGGGUCGGCAGGGUCGGAGCAUCACCAGCUGUGAUCGCAAGUUCUCUACGGUGGCGCUGCGCCGAUAAAGCCGUGCAAGAGACAGAAGGGAACAUAUGGCCCAACCCCCAUUAUGCAUGGCGACACACACAUAUCGCAUCGUGUGCUGCCCCGUGACCUGAUUACCAGUGAAGGGCCACGCUCAGCCGGGCAUUUUAAGGCGCGUUGGCAGGCAUGAAAGGACGUGCAUUAAACAAAC